AGCUUUGCACAGUGGCAGUAUCGUAGCCAAUGAGGUUUAUCCGAGGCGCGAUUAUUGCUAAUUGAAAACUUUUCACAAACAAGGGCACUAUAGCCUGGAUCAGGAACUCACUUCAAUCAAUGGCCCAUGUGUUAAAAGUGUGGUUCACA
rnacentral:snRNA from 1 species